GACGAACGCUGGCGGCGUGCUUAACACAUGCAAGUCGAACGAAGUGGCGAACGGGUGAGUAACGCGUAAUCAACCUGCCCUUCAGAGGGGGACAACAGUUGGAAACGUCUGCUAAUACCGCAUACUGAAGGAGGGGAUUGCGUCUGAUUAGCUAGUUGGAGGGGUAACGGCCCACCAAGGAGAUGCUCAGUAGCCGGUCUGCGAGGAGGAACGACCAAAUUGGAAUUGAGACGCGGCCCAGACUGCUACGGGAGGGAGCAGUGGGGAAGCUUCCGGAAUGGAAGAAAGUCUGGCGGAGCAACGCCGCGUGAGUGAUGACGGGCUUCGGGUUGUAAAGCUCUGUUAAUCGGGACGCGGUACCGGAAUAGAAAGCCACGGCUAACUACGUGCCAGCAGCCGCGGUAAUUC
rnacentral:rRNA from 1 species